rnacentral:rRNA from 1 species
GAUGAACGCUGGCGGCGUGCCUAAUACAUGCAAGUCGAGCGAACAGACGAGGAGCUUGCUCCUCUGACGUUAGCGGCGGACGGGUGAGUAACACGUGGAUAACCUACCUAUAAGACUGGGAUAACUUCGGGAAACCGGAGCUAAUACCGGAUAAUAUAUUGAACCGCAUGGUUCAAUAGUGAAAGACGGUUUUGCUGUCACUUAUAGAUGGAUCCGCGCCGCAUUAGCUAGUUGGUAAGGUAACGGCUUACCAAGGCAACGAUGCGUAGCCGACCUGAGAGGGUGAUCGGCCACACUGGAACUGAGACACGGCCCAGACUCCUACGGGAGGCAGCAGUAGGGAAUCCUCCGCAAUGGGCGAAAGCCUGACGGAGCAACGCCGCGUGAGUGAUGAAGGUCUUCGGAUCGUAAAACUCUGUUAUUAGGGAAGAACAAAUGUGUAAGUAACUAUGCACGUCUUGACGGUACCUAAUCAGAAAGCCACGGCUGACUACGUG